UACAGAGGUCUAAAGCGUUGUUCGGAAUCACUGGGCGUAAAGGGUGCGUAGGCUGCGUGGUAAGUCAGGUGUGAAAGCCCGGAGCUCAACUCCGGAACUGCACCCGAUACUGCCGUGCUUGAGGACUGGAGAGGAGUCUGGAAUUCACAGUGGAGCAGUGAAAUGCGUAGAUAUUGUGAGGAACACUAGUGGCGAAGGCGAGACUCUGGACAUUUCCUGACGCUGAGGCACGAAAGCCAGGGGAGCAAACGGG
rnacentral:rRNA from 1 species